CUGCAACAAUAAAAAAAAUAAACAAAAACAAAAACAAAAACAAAAAAAAUAUAAUAUUCUUCAUGACUUGUAAUAUCUGAAUACAUCAGAUGUUUUAAAAAAAAGUUAAAAUAGUAUUUUAGCAACAAUGCACAAAAAAAAACAGAAACACCAAUAAGAGAUUUUGUUUGAGUCCUUGACUGUUAACAUGUAUUUUAGUCAUUUCAUAGCUCCUAAUGAUCUAGUAAUAAAA
rnacentral:lncRNA from 1 species